GGCUCGUCUGUUUUUGGGCAACCAAAACCCAUGCGGUCUGACGUUUAUUUGUCGGAUACUCCUCCGAGGACGACGACCCACGAGUCUCAUAUCUCGGGGUUUCUUCGUUCUUCCACUCUCCUUCGCUGGCUGUUCUGGCCGGUCGUCAGUACUGAAAGUUCUUCGGUUCUUCCCAUCAUAGGAGUGAUCCCCGGCGUAGCGUAGUUGUUUAUGUAAAUUUCUCCACUUACAGGCAUAAGACAACAUCAAAUGCAAAGGACAAGCACAUCUGACUCAAUUGAUGCCAGUGAUAGAAUAUUUGAAGUCAUUCCUGAAUUUGGAGAUAAAGUGACAAAUCUUGAGACUCAUGCAGUGCAGGAAUAUUCUUCACCGAGCAGAUUACCUGCACUUGAUGAAGUUGCAUGUUACAAGCCAUAUGUUGGAAUGGAGUUUGAUUCUCUUGAUAGGGCAUUCCUUUUUUACAAUGAAUAUGCUAGGAUUGUGGGUUUUAGUGUAAGGAAGGGUAAAACUCGUAAAUCAAAUCUUGAUGGAUCAUUUCUUUUUCGUCGAUUUUGCUGUUCAAAGGAAGGCCAUCGCCGAAAUAAACGUGGAAACGAUACCAAUGAAACCAGGCAAAUGAAGUGUGGUGCUUUAAUGAAGGUGGGGGUACACAAUCAACCGGUAACAAGGGUAGGUUGCAAUGCAAAGUUAGAUGUGAAAAGAAAGAAUGGUGGUAGAUGGGUUGUACAAAAAUUCGAUGAGGAACAUAACCAUGAAUGUGCUCAUCAAGGAGAAACACACUUAUUGAGGUCUCACAAACGGAAGCAGUCCACUCAGGGGCCAGUUAAUGGUACAAGGGCAUUCUCUAAACCAUCUGUAGGGAUGGAGUUUGACUCUCUUGACAAGGCAUUUCUUUUUUACAAUGAAUAUGCAAGGAUUGUAGGUUUUAGUGUCCGAAAAGCUAAAAUUCGUAAAUCAAAUAUUGAUGGAUCGAUUCUUUUCCGUAGACUUUGCUGUUCGAAGGAAGGUCAUAGUCGAAAAAGUCUUGAAAGUGAUAAUGAUGAAACAAAUCAAGUUAAAGAUGGAGUAGCAGCGAAGGUGAGCAAACGAAAUCAUCUAGUUUCAAGGGUUGGUUGUAAUGCAAAGUUAGACUUGAAGAAGGCGAACAGUGGUAAGUGGGUUGUGCAAAAAUUUUGUGAGGAACAUAACCAUGAAUGUGCUCAGCAAGGAGAAAUACAUUUGAUGAGGUCCCACAGAUGCAAUCAAUCUACUUAUGGAGAACUAAAUGAUAUGACACCUGAUGCAGGGAUGAAACCAAUGGAAGCAGUACCUGACUUGAUACGAGAAGCUGAUGGAAAUGAGAAUCCUGAACAAGAUUUAGAAUAUCAUUCAAGUGAAAAGCUGGGAAAGCAUGUAAAAAUGGGAGAUGCACAGGUUAUCCUCAGCUACCUUAGGCAUAUGCAAGAAGCAAACCCAUCCUUCUUUUAUGCAAUACAAGGAAAUGAAAGGGAUAAGAGGAUGAAUUUCUUCUGGGCUGAUGCAAGGUCAAGGAUGGAUUAUAGUUACUUUGGAGAUGUGAUUUACUUGGAUACAAGUUAUGGGACUAACAAGUAUGGGAGACCUUUUGCUCCAAUUGUAGGUGUUAAUCAUCACCAACAGACAGUCUUACUUGGUUAUGCAAUACUUUCCAGCAAAACUGAGGAAUCAUUUGUUUGGUUACUGGAGACAUUUUUGAAAGUGAUGUCUGAUCAUCAUCCAGUUUCAAUAAUUACUAAUCCAAAUGCAGUAAUGGCAAAAGCAAUUGAGCGAGUCUUACCAAGGACCCAUCACCGCUUAUGUUUAUGGCACAUCUUCCAGAAUGCAGUUAAACAUUUGAGCCAUCUUUACAAAAUUGAGGACGGUUUCAUUACAGAUUUCAAGAAAUGCAUCUAUGAGUCUCAGUGGUGUGAUGAGUUUGAAUCUAGAUGGUCAUCAUUACUUAACAAGUAUGAACUCCGUGAUGAUGAGUGGCUUGACAAUAUGUAUAAGAAACGGCACAAAUGGGUUCCAGCCUACUCAAGGUACAUCUUCCAUGCUGACAUGACAACAAGUCAACGAAUUGAAAAUAUUAACUCCUUUUUUAAUGGAUACCUGAACAAGUCUCUUCCUCUUAGUGAUUUUAUCAAACAAUGCGAGAAGGCACUUGUUAGUAGACGUGAAAAGGAAACUUACGAAGACUUUAUAUCCCACCAAACAAGGCCGGUACUGAAGUUGGACCUUCCAAUGGAACAACAAGCAGCUGAUGUUUAUACAAGAUCAGUGUUUAAAGAGUUCCAUAAUGAGUUCUGUGAUAGUUUCAAGCACAUUGCUAAAGAAACUGGAAGGGCAGGGGCAAACUCUACUUACAUGGUGUCAAGAUGGGGGCACAACAGGAACUUUCUUGUUAAUUUCAACUCUUAUAAUAAAGAUAUUCAGAUUACAUGUAGUUGUCAGAAAUUUGAAUUUUCAGGCAUACUCUGCAGGCACAUCUUGAAAGUCUUCAUGGUGAAAAAUGUUAUGCUGAUUCCUGAGACGUACAUUAGAAAGAGGUGGACCAAAAAGGUAAAGUCUAAUGUUGUUCUGGAGGAAAAUGCCAGGGAAAUGCAUCAAAACUCUCAGAAGUCAUCAGCAUUGCAUCAUAAGGACUCUUGCUGCCAACAUUCUGACCUUUAUGCAAAAGGUGAGACUUCCACAAAUGCUUAUCAAACAGAAAAGCAUGAAAUCGAGAUGGCAUUAAAAGAACCAGGAAACUUUGCUCAUGAAGAAACAAGUAUUGUUCAGCCAAACAUCGAGGACCCUAAAGGUUUGGAUUUUACAGUCGAAGUUAAGAAUAUUGUAGACUCAGACUUCCAUUUGAAUGGAGGGAAUUCUGAGAACAAACUAUUAUGUAAUCCAGCACAUGAGAAAGCAGAAGGGAAACCGCCUAAAAGAACCAUUUCUUCAUUGGGGGAAGACAAAGGAAAAACGAAAGCUAGAACAGGGCUUAAAUCAGACAAGCAUGGUGAUAUUUUGCUCUCACCAGAGCCGGGAUCAAGUGAACAUAACGAGACAACAUUACUUUCAGCAGGGCCCACUUCAAUUGAACAUGAUGGGCCACCUUCCUGUUCCAGCAAGGAGGGAGUUGAUGAUUCAUGCCAUGUUGGAGAGAAAGAUGAACAAGAAUCCCAAAAUUGCAGUGGGCUGUCGUAUGUGUGGCCAAAUGUCUGUGUAUAUGCAUGUGCUCCUGCUGGCUCCUUGGGUGAUCUGAAUGGCCAAUGUCACUCUUCUAAUGCUACCAAUUUUGGGGAAUCAUUAGCUGGGCUUUCAUGCAUCCAGACCUCUGAACCAAAUAUUUUUGACCUUAAUCAGGAACUGUCAGUUGGCUCUUCUAGCAUUCCAACUUCUCCAAUGAGCCAUUUUGCUAUUAAUCAGGGAAUCUGCUGAUGGCUUAACAUUUAGAAGGUACAAUUGGCGGUGUCCAGGCAACUGCAUCAAAGUUUCAACUUUCAAUGGAAGUUCUAAACUUUUGAAAUGUACAUGCUACAUUCAAGUUACCUAAUGCUCCUCAUCUCCCCAUCUAAAAUUUCUGGCUGUUGCAGAGACCUUAAAUUAUAAUCUGAGAUUGAAUAUCUUUACCAUAUAAUGCCACUACUUGCCUUGGCUUUAUAUUCAGACCAUAAAGGUUAAAUCAGAACAUUUUGAUAGUAUCAUAUAAUAUCAAUACCUGCAAAAGGUUGCCCAAAUAUUUUAAUCUUUAAAUUUAAUCACUAAAUUAAGGGAUUUAAAAUUUUCAAAAUCCAGAUUUUUUUAUCCUUUUAGCCUUGUAUCUUUACUUGAACACGUGCCUUUUUUUGAGAGAUUCUCUCGAACUAAUUACAAAAGGAAACUGUCCAGACUCCGCAGGCCAGAACAGCUAUACACAAAGUAUACUGACUUAAUAAAAUGUAUUUAGUAUUCACUCAUUUACAUAAUUAAAAAAAAAAAAAAAAAGAUCUCCCGUUGAUUUGUGAGUUGCUCCUUUUUCAUGCCUUCUGACUUCAUAACACUGGUCCAUUCAAUCAUGCACCUAUCAAUCUUUCAAUCUCUGAACAUGAUUGAAUGAAGACUCCGUUAUUGCGCUUGAGCCAAAUGUCCCAACACAAGGCACCAGGCACCAAACACCUUAGAGGGCCAAGAUGCAAUCAGAGAAACCAGAUCCCUCAUCAUCACCAUAACAAUAAAUGGGCCCAAAACAAUAGAUGAUAUGCAUCUUCAACCUCUGAUUGGCAUUGACCAAACCCCAAUUGAUUAGGUGGUCUUUGUGGGAAUUCUAUUGAGGAAUGAUGUUCAUUGUGAAGGGCUUUAUCUAUGGUGAAUGGUGGUGAUUUCCCAUUGGGAAGGCCACCAUGGAGAUAAUCUUGCACUACAUGCCAGAAUGAAAUUCUUAGAGCUUCAAACUGUUAAAUAGAUUCUAAGGGAACUGAAUCAUACAACUGAAACUCUAUCCAAAUCUGGGGUGUAAAGGGUUUUUUUGUACAAUGCAAAUACUUUGCCUAUGUAAUUCCCUGGGUGGGUUCCAGGUUCUUUUGCCUUUUGUCCUGCUUGUACAUUUUCUCAUGUAGAUCCUCCCUCUCCACUUUUUGAAACAAACGCCACCUUUCGACCAGGAAAAAAAGCAAACUUGGCUCGUGCCAAGAACUGGAGGUUGGUGAUGAUACAGGAAAGCCACAAUUCAGGAAUAGCCAGCAAACAAUCUAACUGGAGAAAGAAGCAAUCAGCCCAAAAUCAGACAUUGCAUAUCAUCAUAAGGCAAUGUGGUAAUGAAGAGGGAUUACAAACCCAAAAACAAUACAAGCCCGUGGACAAGGCCCGGUGGAAGUUCCAAACUGCAUUUGGGUAAAUAUUUUUUUGUUGGCAAAUCGCUUGGCAGCUGUUUUGCAUGUGUAUAUAAGAACGCUUGUGGAAAUAGUUAUCUUUUAUCAGAGUGUACUAGAGCUUGUGAACUAUUUUUCUUUUUUCUCUUUUAGUUUUAAGCGUCUAGUUUACGUUUUCUUGA